AUUGAACGCUGGCGGUGUGCCUAACACAUGCAAGUCGAGCGGUAACAGGUGUAGCAAUACAUGCUGACGAGCGGCGAACGGGUGAGUAAUGCUUCGGAAUCUACCCAAUGGUGGGGAAUAACCAGCCGAAAGGUUGGCUAAUACCGCAUACGUCCCACGGGAGAAAGCAGGGGAUCGCAAGACCUUGCGCCAAUGGAUGAGCCGAAGUCGGAUUAGCUAGUUGGAGGGUAACGGCCUACCAAGGCGACGAUCCGUAGCUGGUCUGAGAGGACGACCAGCCACACUGGGACUGAGACACGGCCCAGACUCCUACGGGAGCAGCAGUGGGGAAUAUUGGACAAUGGGGGAAACCCUGAUCCAGCGACGCCGCGUGUGUGAAGAAGGCCUGCGGGUUGUAAAGCACUUUUAGUGGGGAUGAAAUGUUCAGGUUAACACCUCUGGAUUUUGACCUAACCANAGAAAAGCACCGGCUAACUCUGUGCCAGCAGCAGCCGCA
rnacentral:rRNA from 1 species